rnacentral:rRNA from 1 species
UGGGGAAUAUUGCACAAUGGGGGAAACCCUGAUGCAGCGACGCCGCGUGAGCGAAGAAGGUUUUCGAAUCGUAAAGCUCUGUCCUAUGAGAAGAUAAUGACGGUAUCAUAGGAGGAAGCCCCGGCUAAAUAUGUGCCAGCAGCCGCGGUAAUACGUAUGGGGCGAGCGUUGUCCUGUAUUAUUUGGCGUAAAGGGUACGUAGGCGGAUAAGCAAAUUAGAAGUGAAAUCCUAUAGCUCAAAUAUAGUAAGCUUUUAAAACUGCUCAUCUUGAGGUAUGGAAGGGAAAGUGGAAUUCCUAGUGUUGCGGUGAAAUGCGCAGAUAUUAGGAGGAAUACCGGUGGCGAAGGCGACUUUCUGGCCAUAUACUGACGCUGAGGUACGAAAGAGUGGGUAGCAAACAGG